CAGCUAGCUUGCUGCAGCGCGAGCUGUUUUUCAGCUGAAAGGCGCCCCCUGGGUCCUAAGCCUCCUAGGUCAUGCAAAAUCUAACUCUGAGCCAAGAAAGGAACUCAGCCAAGAGAUAUGCAGGUUGUGCUUAACAGCCGAUCAGUUUGAGACCUGCGAGGCCGCAUCCCCAGGGUUUUUCAUCUCUUCUGUUUCCAUUUGUAACUGUAAGAGAAAGCAACAUUCACCUUUGUGUCACAGAUCAAAUGGUAACCCACUGAAGACCACCCCAUUACCUUGUGCUAGAACAGAACUGCCUCUGCCAUCUCUCUUUAACAGAAGCACAUCCUGAGAAUCUGAGAGCUCAAGGUAAGUGGCUGAACACUGUCAACACAUACAGACAUCUAACUGUCUCCUUACUGUACAGCCAUAGCAAGAAACAAAUGCAUGCAGUGCUGUCAAGGUAGAAGACACCACUGUUUACUACCCCAGUCCCAAAUAUCUGUGUACGUUAGCACAGCCUACCUAGCUCUUCUGUCAUUGUCUUUUUAAGUAAACAUUAUACAUUUGAACUGAA
rnacentral:antisense_RNA from 1 species